AUCAGGUCCGGGCAUGCCCCGGGACCAGGCCGGCGCCCCAGGGCGAACCCGGUCAGAUGCCCGUCGAUAACCGGGCGUCACG
rfam:Brevundimonas subvibrioides ATCC 15264, complete genome.